AGUCGAGCGGUAACAGAGAGAAGCUUGCUUCUUUGCUGACGAGCGGCGGACGGGUGAGUAAUACUUGGGAACUUGCCUCUAGGCGGGGGACAACCACUGGAAACGGUGGCUAAUACCGCAUAAUGUCUACGGACCAAAGUGGGGGACCUUCGGGCCUCACACCUAGAGAUGGGCCCAAGCGGGAUUAGCUAGUUGGUGAGGUAAAGGCUCACCAAGGCGACGAUCCCUAUCUGUUCUGAGAGGAUGAUCAGCCACACUGGGACUGAGACACGGCCCAAACUCCUACGGGAGGCAGCAGUGGGGAAUAUUGCACAAUGGGCGCAAGCCUGAUGCAGCCAUGUCGCGUGUGUGAAGAAGGCCUUCGGGUUGUAAAGCACUUUCAGUGGUGAGGAAGGUCAGUAAGUUAAUAGCUUGCUGAAUUGACGUUAGCCACAGAAGAAGCACCGGCUAACUCCGUGCCAGCAGCCGCGGUAAUACGGAGGGUGCAAGCGUUAAUCGGAAUUACUGGGCGUAAAGCGUACGUAGGCGGUGUGUUAAGCAAGAUGUGAGAGCCCCGGGCUCAACCUGUGAAUUGCAUUUUGAGCUGGCACGCUAGAGUCCUGAAGAGGGUGGUAGAAUUUCCAGUGUAGCGGUGA
rnacentral:rRNA from 1 species